rfam:Triticum aestivum genome assembly, contig: Triticum_aestivum_CS42_TGACv1_scaffold_096945_2AL
AAAGUACUUCCUACGUCCCAAAAUUCUUGUCUUAAAUUUAUAUACAUCCGUAUCUAGACAAAUUUGAGACAAGAAUUUUAGGACGGAGGGAGUAAUAA